rnacentral:rRNA from 1 species
AUUGAGCGCUGGCGGCAGGCCUAACACAUGCAAGUCGAACGGUAGCACAGAGAGCUUGCUCUCGGGUGACGAGUGGCGGACGGGUGAGUAACAUCUGGGAAACUGCCCGAUGGAGGGGGAUAACUACUGGAAACGGUAGCUAAUACCGCAUAACGUCGCAAGACCAAAGUGGGGGACCUUCGGGCCUCACACCAUCGGAUGUGCCCAGAUGGGAUUAGCUAGUAGGUGGGGUAAUGGCUCACCUAGGCGACGAUCCCUAGCUGGUCUGAGAGGAUGACCAGCCACACUGGAACUGAGACACGGUCCAGACUCCUACGGGAGGCAGCAGUGGGGAAUAUUGCACAAUGGGCGCAAGCCUGAUGCAGCCAUGCCGCGUGUAUGAAGAAGGCCUUCGGGUUGUAAAAUACUUUCAGCGGGGAGGAAGGCGGUGAAGUUAAUAGCUUCACCGAUUGACGUUACCCGCAGAAGAAGCACCGGCUAACUCCGUGCCAGCCGCCGCAGUAA